UGCUCAGAGGCAAACGGGUGGGCCCUCGAAAUCCUCUCCGCGGAGGGAUUCAGUCGGCGAGACGGAGGAGCGGCUGGCGCUUCAAAGUAUCUCACCAAGCGGACCCUUCGCAAGGCCGGGCGCUGGCCGUCCGAGCCUCCGGUUCGCCGACGCACUUCCUUCCGCGCCACGGACGCCGCAACCGGUCCGGUAGCUGCGAGAGUCGGCCUCGAGGGCGGGAGCCGGCAGGUGGCCGGAGAUUCGACCCCCGCGUCGUCUCCUCCGGUCGUUAGCCUUCCCGCCCGUGGCGCGACACCGGACCGAGGUCGAAGUCUCCCCCCUUCGCGGGGGGAGGCACGCCGUCUCCUGCACUCGUUGCAGCGGCGUGCGGGGCACGCGUCGUCGGCGCUCAAGGGGACUCACUUGUGACAGUGAACUCCUCGCAGAGGGCGCGGCUGGUCCCGUCACGGCCGCGGGGUGUGCGGACUCGGGUUGGCGGCGAGCAAGAUCGGUAACCCACCCGUCCCGUCUUGAAACACGGACCAAGGAGUCUAACACGUGCGCGAGUCACUGGGUCUUGUUCAGGCCCAAGGGCGCAAUGAAAGUGAAAAGUCGCUCUUCGGGGUGAUACGUUGGGAACCCGUCUUUAAAUCGAAGGCGGGCGCACCAACGACCCGCCCGAUCGGCCCCCGCGUCGACGGGCGGAGUCGGAGCGCACGCGUUGGGACCCGAAAGAUGGUGAACUAUGCCUGGGCAGAACGAAGCCAGAGGAAACUCU
rnacentral:rRNA from 1 species